AGAUAUUGGGGCAGAAGUGGAGCAAAGUUGCUCCGCACACCGCAGGUUGCAGCUGUACUCACGUGGCGGCAUCAAAGGAGGAGUUGUCCACCCAUUUCCGUAUGUUGUCGGAUGCCUUUAAUCCGAUCCACACUGUUAUCUUGUCCUGGCGGAUGAUCUCACGUAAGUGCUCCUGUUGAAUGGGAGAGGAGCAGUGGCUUCCAGGGGCCUUCAGCAAGAGGCUCAUUGGGGUGCAAAGCUGGCUUUUUGAACCCACUGGGUUCAUCCUCAAAGAGAUGGGCCCUAAACACCACCUGUGCCUUGGGUGCUGCCUCACUCAGUGGGUGGAAAUUGCUGAAAUUCAGAGCCUGAGACACCGAAGGCUCCCCCUGAGCUCUGUGUCCCUCCUUCUUCCCAUGCCAAAGGUGGGAAGAGGCCUCCAAGGCCCUUUUGGUGGUGAUUCAGCCCUGUUCCCUCCUUAGUGCGAAGAGGCUUGGAGCUACCAACCCUCCUGCCACCAACCAGCAGCUCUGGGACAGUUUUUGCCCCUCUACCCACCAAAACCGAGGGCUUUUGGGUCCAUUUCAAGCCUUCUCCACUCUGCACUUACCAUAUCAGUGGUGUUUCGGAACACGGCCAGAUGGGACCCCCGACUUUCGCAGUCUUUUUUGCCGUCCAUCCAAGUCCCAAUGGAUUUGGAAAACUGGUAGCAAUGGUCACCAAAAAGCUGCCAAGACGGGGGGCACAGCUUGCAGCCCCCAUGGCCUGGAGAGGAGGUGGAGCCGUGAGACACCCCAACAAGUGCUCGAGGUCUCACUCAAACCAGCCAAGAGGCACUGGGGAGGGAGCUCUCUCCCCUCCCAAAUUUUUCCUGGCUGCUUUCCCCACCCAUCCACCACAAGGAGCACACAGUGGGGUGAGCACGGGGAAGGUGGAGAGGUGCCUCCUCCUCCCAGAGGCCCACAGAGGAUGGAGAUGAUCAGCAAAACGAGCUCUUCCUCACCAUGCUCAUCGACGCCGAGCUGGGCUUGCAGCCCCCCGGGGACACCCAUCCCACCUCAGGGACCCCCCCGGGGAAGGGGUUACCUGCGGAGCCGUUCCAGCGGCAGAAGUAGCGCUGCAGGGAAGAAAUCGCGCACACCUCUGUCCUGUUCCUUCCCCCGGCCUCGCUCUUGUUCUGCAGAGCGUUGGGAGGUGU
rnacentral:lncRNA from 1 species